rnacentral:misc_RNA from 1 species
GGGAGGGGAGAGAGAGAGAGAGAUUUGGGGGGAAAAAUAAUAUGUAAAUACAGGGGUUCUGUAUCGGCAUUAAAAUAAAAGGCAUAUAUAAAAGAUUAAAUAUGCCAAAAUUUGAAGUUCAAUUUUAUUUCAGCUCUGUACUUUAGCAGCAUCUCAACAGAAAAUAAAAUAAAGAUUUAUAGUAUACCCAAGUUAAACACAAUAAGUUAGCAACUUAAGAGAUGAAGUGGACUGGGACAAUCUACAAUAUUAAGUGGAGGUAUAACUUGAAAAACUUCAGUGAAAAUGACCUAAUUACACAAUUUCUAAUGAGGGAGUAGAGCACUUGUCCCCACAGUAAAUCUAGCCCCAACAGCAAGAAAUUUAUGCAAUUAAAACAGCAUUUGCAGAAAACUUUUAAUAUCACAGAUUUACAGCAUAUAAGCUUUUCUAAGCCAGGAAUUGAAAAAACUAGAGUUAUGAAAACCAUACACCCUGGAAUAUCUGAAAAAUUACAAAACUAAUUUUGAGCAAGAGACUCCUCCAUUAAACUUUCACCAUGGAAUUUACCUGAUAGUUUGAUAUAAUCUUCUGCCUGUAUUCUCUAUGUUUUUGAAU